GCAUUUUAUGGUUCAAAAAGAAGAAAAUAAGAUAAAAUAUCCUAAAAUAUGGUAUCACCAACCAAUAAAAAUUCAUAAUGAAUUAAUAUUACUACCUUGGCUUUAGGAGUCAUUGCAAACCGUUUUGCACUUAGAUGUAAUUAUUUUAUAUGUAAGCUACAUUAUUAAAAAUCACAUUUAUCUCAGUCAUUGCCCUCCUGAAGGCAAGUAGUGGCUUUGUAAUAUGAAAAAGAAUUUUCGCUGUAAUGUGUUGCUGAAAGAUAACCAGAAUACCAAGGAAUUUGUAUAAAAGUAUGCUUCUUCUUCCCUGCUUUCCCUCCAUGGGGCACUAGACCUACAGAAUUAUACUUUCAUACUUAGAAGAUACGUCUUCUUUCUUUCUUAUUUAUUUAUUUAUUUAUUUUAGGUCAUUCUUCUUGUUUGCCAAAUUUUGUUGAGACUGUGAUACAUUCAGUUUCUUAUUUAUGCAUGCUUAGAUCAUGAACUUGGUGCCCUUCAGUAAGUUUUCUCACAUGAGGAUUGAUGCCAUAAAUUUAAAGAAAGAUUGUUUUCAGUUUAAGGGAAAUUGUAAAAAAUACAUUUUGUGGCUGUUCUCUUAAGGAAUUAAUAUUUACUUCUAAAGAACUUGCUUGUAAUAUGUAAUUCCUCCUUUUAGUCAGGAGGGAAAUACAACAUUUUUAAUCCCCCAAAGAAAGUGCUGGAAAUAGCUUCUAUAUAGUCAGUAGUUCAACUGGAGAAAGAUCUUAAUCGUUGUUGUUUUGAGUAGGCAUAUAAGUAUUUGUUAUGAAGUAGCUAGUUUGUUACUUUUUUCCUUCUGAAUUUCAGAUGUAUGCAUAUAUAUGCAUAGUAGAUAUAUAUAUAAUAUAUAUAUAUAUCUCUUUAGAUACCUGUGGUAGAUACUAACUUGUAAAACAGGUAUCUAAUGACUGCUUAAUUGUUACCAGACUGCAUCAAAGGUGAAUUGACAAAAAAUAGAAAUGAGUAGUGAUAUGAAAAUGGUAUUUAACUACAUGUUGUUUCUGGUAAUCAAGUCUUUUUUAAAAAGCUUAUUGUUUUGGAGAAUUGAGAUAUUUAAAACUUGUUAAAACUUCCUAAAAAGAAGAGAAGAGGUACUGUGUGGUCAAAGAAAUUUUUUAAUAAAAAUCUCAGUGUCACUAGUUGUAAGCUUUUAUGGUUACUGCUUAUAUUUCUUGAUCUCAUUUUAUUAAUUUUUUAGUACAUAGCCAGAAGCUUAAAGUUUAUAAUUAUGUAUCAUUGUGUAUGUAUGUAAAUUGGUUUUCAGAAAAUAACCUGACGUUUAACCUGUCUUGCUGAAGAUUGAUUCUGAAAGUCAGCUAUAGUACAUUCUGUGUUGUGCUAAUGCUUCUAAUGCCUUUGCAUGGUUGAUGUCUAUGCAGGGAUCUUCUAGUGUACAUCACUUGGUUGCAGUUUUCUUAGUAGUCCUUUCUCAAAUUUUUCAAUCCCUCUUUUAUUUUUCUUUUUUACUUGCUAUCUCUUCUCAAAGACGUUCAGUGAUUCAGUCUUCAGCAGUUUCCUUUUCUGACUUCUAAGUUAUUUUAAGGUUAGGGAACCUAAAAAAAGGAAGAUUAUUGAAAUUAUAUCAGAAAUUUUUUAAUUAAGAAAUAUUCUUCUCCCUACAAACAAAAUAAAUGGAGAUACUGGUGCCUAAUGUCAUUUCAUCAGUGGAUGACUGAAUUUGUUGAGUAAUUUACUUAAAUGAGCUCAUAGUCGUAAUUGAGUUCUUCAAUACUAAUAUUGAAAUAAUUUUAUUUACUUUUUGGGUAGGGCCUCUCCCAAAGCCUAUGUAUUGUUCAGAUAAAUUAUUUUUCCAUUUAAAUUUUGAAGCCAUUUUGAGAUGCAGUAAUUUGUGGGAGACUUUUACUUUCUCAACAUAAAUUGUGCAUUAAUUUAAAGACAGGAUUAGAUACAUCAUUAUCUAAACACAUACUUCAUAUUUAGCUCUGUGUCCUGAAAGUUGAAGUUACUGCUCUGUGAUCCUGGUAAGUGAGGUAUUAAUUGUAAUUUUAAUUCUCAAAUAUAGUAUUAAACUUUUAUUUGGUGACAGGUCUCCAGAAUGAUUAUAUGAUUUUUUUUAAGAAAAGAGUUCUAUUGAUAAUAUCUGAAACUGUUUUGAAUAUGUAAAAGUAAAGCCUGAAUAGAAACUAGUCUAAAUACAAUACCUCACUAGUUGUGAUUGUACGCACUGAACGAAGAGUUGCCUGGGAAAGUUUUUGCUGUGUUCUUGCUAUGAAAUGCCACAGCCUGCAUUUCAGGAAAGAUUGUUUUCUCAAAGACAAUACAAUCAAAAUUCUUACUAGCCUUUAACUUUUUAUUUUGUAUAACAUGUUUCCUGCUACAUGGAAAGAUUGAAUAAGUUUACCUGUCUCUUAAAGACUGAAAUAGGACUAUUAAGGAACUUUGUAGUUUUUAUGAGAUACCGUGAAAAAUGCAAAUCUCUUCUUAAUUAACCCAGAUUGUGUAUGUAAGUGCAAGUUGAUUGUCAGGUAGAGGUAAAAUAAUUAUUUGGACAGAUUGCUGGGUUAAUUAUAUAGUAGCCAAGAAUUAAGUGCAUGUUCAGGUCAAAAUGAAUUUGUUCAUCUUAGUUGGUACCAUUUUCCUUUUGAUAUUCAGAAAUACAGAAUGUUCAUUUUAUUAGUGGGAAUGGAAGGUCAUGCUUGAGGAUUUGAAUAGGGUGGAUGUAUAUAUUUUAUAAAUUCAAAUUGCAAAAAUAUGUAAAAUAACUACUUUUUAAAUAGUAUAUAAAUGUUAAGACAAAUCUCUGUUAUAUAUUUUUAAAUACAUGUAUCAAAGUUUUGUUAGUUGAAUAUAGGUUACUUUGUGUGCUUUAUGGAAUUCAGUAACUUUUAAUAAUAAAGCAGUUGUCAUUUGAUUUUUUUCCUGUAUACUUGAAUACUAAAUUGGAUAAAUACUAGACUUCCUUGUAUUUUUAUACUAUAAAACUUUGUGUAGUAUUUGUUCCUUAAAGAAGCCUGAUCUCUUUAAAGGAUUACCGAAACAAAUAUGUCCAUUUCCAAAAUGAAUACAAUAGGAUGAAGAUAGUUACUAGAGCUGCUUACUUAUUUAACAGAUCAUCUCUACAUAUUAGUAGAGCUAGUUAAUUUGAGUGCUCUUUGUGCUUUAAUUAAGGUCUAGGUGAGCAUUGUGGUACAUAUCUGUAAUUCCAGCCACUCAGGAGGCUGAGACAGGAGAUGGCCAGUUCCAGGUCAGCCCGGGCAAUUUGCAGAGACUAUAUCUCAAAGUAAGAUUUAGAAAGGAUGAAGGCUAGGCACCAGUGACUGUGAUUCUAGCUACUUGGGAAUUCGAGAUCAGCCUGGGCAAAUAACUUCACAAGACCCUCCCCCAUCUCCAAAGUAACCAGAGCAAAAAUGGACUGGAGGUAUGACUCAAGCAGUAGUAGAAUUCUUUGCAAGCUCGAAGCCCUGAGUUCAAACUCUAGUGCCACCAAGGGGGGAAAAAAAAUGACUAGCAGUGUAGCACAAUGGUAGAGCAGUUGUCUAGCUGUGUGAGACCUUGGGUUCAACUCCCAGUACCACAAUCAAUCCUUUUUAAAGACUUGGAUUUUACAGAAAAUACACAAAUUGAGACCUGGACACACUUAGAGUUACCAUGAAUCUGAUUGUUUCUGAACUUGGAAUUGUACAAUUAAUAAGAACAUACUGUAAAGAACUUCUGGAUGCUUUUCUGAGUAUACAAACAGAUGAACUAAUCUAUUUAAAUGAAUGACUCUUGAAGCUACAAGAAGAGAGAAAGAAAGCAGAAGAAGGAAUAAUUAUUGCAUUUGUUACUCCACACAAGAAGAAAUUAAAUCUGCUCUGCUGAUAGUGUUUCUCAUAUCUUUACCUUAUCUGAGGCAAAUUGCUUGUCUUGAGUAUAUUCAUACAUCAAGAAUAAAAUGUUUUCAACUAAAUACAUCUGAAGAGCAAUGUGAUCAUAAAGGUUUCACGUAUGCAUUAUGGUUUGGUUUUCCCAGUCCAAGUCCUGCUUCACAAACUCACCCUGUUGACUGUUGUUGGCCCUUCUAACUCCAAUGUCUACUUCCUGGAUGGCCCAAAUCAGCACAGUUAGCAGUAAGUGUGGUACAAGAAGGUGGCAGUAAGAGCUUUGAGACUGAUUACUUGUUAUGUCCGUGACAGUGAGGCCUCCAUCCCUGGCUGCAGGUGGGGUUGGCAUAGUUCCUGCCACAGGCAUUAUGUGGCCUAGUUAAAACUUUACUCAGGUGUGGUUGCAUCCGUAAUCCCAACACUUGGAAAGCGAGGGCAGGAGGAUCUCAAGUUGGAGGCCAGCCUACACUACAUAGGGAGGCCCUGUCUCAAAGGAAAAA